rnacentral:rRNA from 1 species
AGAGUUUGAUCAUGGCUCAGGACUAACGCUGGCGGCGUGCCUAACACAUGCAAGUCGAACGAGGUAGCAAUACCUAGUGGCAGACGGGUGAGUAACGCGUGGUCAACCUACCUUUGAGUGGGGGAUAACUAGCCGAAAGGCUAGCUAAUACCGCAUACGUCACCGGGGGACAUCCCCUGAUGAUAAAAGGAGCAAUCCGC